ACGUAGGUCACAAGCGUUGUCCGGAAUUACUGGGUGUAAAGGGAGCGCAGGCGGGAGAACAAGUUGGAAGUGAAAUCCAUGGGCUCAACCCAUGAACUGCUUUCAAAACUGUUUUUCUUGAGUAGUGCAGAGGUAGGCAGAAUUCCCGGUGUAGCGGUGGAAUGCGUAGAUAUCGGGAGGAACACCAGUGGCGAAGGCGGCCUACUGGGCACCAACUGACGCUGAGGCUCGAAAGUGUGGGUAGCAAACAG
rnacentral:rRNA from 1 species